rnacentral:rRNA from 1 species
UGAGGUUAAGUUAACAAGGGCGCAUGGUGAAUGCCUUGGCACUAGGAGCCGAUGAAGGACGGGACUAACACCGAUAUGCUUCGGGGAGCUGUACGUAAGCUAUGAUCCGGAGAUUUCCGAAUGGGGCAACCCAGCAGUUUUAAUCAACUGUUACCACUAGAUGAAUUCAUAGUCUAGUUGGAGGUAAACGCUGUGAACUGAAACAUCUCAUUAGCAGCAGGAAUAUAAAGAAAUUUCGAUUCCCUAAGUAGCGGCGAGCGAACGGGGAACAGCCCAAACCAAAGUGCUUGCACUUUGGGGUUGUAGGACUGAACAUUUGAGUUACCAAAGAACUUGAUAGUCGAAGGAUUUGGGAAAAUCCGCCAUAGAUGGUGAUAGCCCAGUAGAUUAAAUCAAAUUCUCUCAGUUCAGGAUCCUGAGUACGGCGGAACACGUGAAAUUCCGUCGGAAUCCGGGAGGACCAUCUCCCAAGGCUAAAUACUACCUAGUGACCGAUAGUGAACCAGUACCGUGAGGGAAAGGUGAAAAGCACCCCGGGAGGGGAGUGAAAUAGUUCCUGAAACCAUGUGCCUACAAUAAGUCAGAGCGCGUUAAUGCGUGAUGGCGUGCCUUUUGUAGAAUGAACCGGCGAGUUAUGAUCCCGUGCAAGGUUAAGACUAAAAAGUCGGAGCCGUAGCGAAAGCGAGUCUGAAAUGGGCGUUUUGAGUACGAGGUUAUAGACCCGAAACCAGGUGACCUAUCCAUGUCCAGGUUGAAGGUGCGGUAAAACGCACUGGAGGACCGAACCCGUGUAAGUUGAAAAUUGCUGGGAUGAGGUGUGGAUAGCGGUGAAAUUCCAAACGAACUUGGAGAUAGCUGGUUCUCUCCGAAAUAGCUUUAGGGCUAGCCUCGGAAUUAGGAUCAUGGAGGUAGAGCACUAUUUGGACUAGGGGCCCGUCUUGGGUUACUGAAUUCAGAUAAACUCCGAAUGCCAUUGAUUCAUAUCCGGGAGUCAGACGAUGAGUGAUAAGAUCCACCGUCGAAAGGGGAACAGCCCAGACCAUCAGUUAAGGUCCCUAAAUGUAUGCUAAGUGGAAAAGGAUGUGGAGUUGCAUAGACAACUAGGAUGUUGGCUCAGAAGCAGCCACCAUUUAAAGAGUGCGUAAUAGCUCACUAGUCGAGUGAUCCUGCGCCGAAAAUGUACCGGGGCUAAGCAUACUACCGAAACCAUGGAUGCGACCAUUAGGUCGCGUGAUAGGAGAGCGUUCUAAGGGCGGUGAAGCAAGAUCGUGAGGACUUGUGGAGCGCUUAGAAGUGAGAAUGCCGGUAUGAGUAGCGAAAGAUAGGUGAGAAUCCUAUCCACCGAAUGACUAAGGUUUCCUGGGGAAGGCUCGUCCUCCCAGGGUUAGUCGGGACCUAAGUCGAGGCCGAGAGGCGUAGACGAUGGAUAACAGGUUGAGAUUCCUGUACUAGUUAAGUGCGUUUGAGCAAUGGAGGGACGCAGGAGGCUAAGAUGUGCAUUCUGUUGGAUUAGAAUGUCCAAGCAGUAAGUCUUGUGAAGAGUCAAAUGCUUUUCACUUUAAGGACAAGCUGUGAUGGGGAGCGAAAUUUAGUAGCGAAGCGUCUGAUGUCACACUGCCGAGAAAAGCUUCUAGUGAGUACUUAACUACCCGUACCGCAAACCGACACAGGUAGUCGAGGAGAGAAUCCUAAGGUGAGCGAGUGAACUCUCGUUAAGGAACUCGGCAAAAUGACCCCGUAACUUCGGGAGAAGGGGUGCUGAUCGCAAGAUCAGCCGCAGUGAAUAGGCCCAGGCGACUGUUUAUCAAAAACACAGGUCUCUGCAAAAUCGUAAGAUGACGUAUAGGGGCUGACGCCUGCCCGGUGCUGGAAGGUUAAAAGGAUGGGUUAGCUUCGGCGAAGCUCAGAAUUGAAGCCCCAGUAAACGGCGGCCGUAACUAUAACGGUCCUAAGGUAGCGAAAUUCCUUGUCGGGUAAGUUCCGACCCGCACGAAAGGCGUAACGAUCUGGGCACUGUCUCAACGAGAGACUCGGUGAAAUUAUAUUGUCCGUGAAGAUGCGGACUACCCGCGACAGGACGGAAAGACCCCAUGGAGCUUUACUGUAGCUUGAUAUUGAGUGUUUGUACAGCUUGUACAGGAUAGGUAGGAGCCAUAGAAACCGGAACGCUAGUUUCGGUGGAGGCGUUGGUGGGAUACUACCCUCGCUGUAUGACCACUCUAACCCGCACCACUAAUCGUGGUGGGAGACAGUGUCAGGUGGGCAGUUUGACUGGGGCG